rnacentral:rRNA from 1 species
UACGUAGGUGGCAAGCGUUGUCCGGAUUUACUGGGCGUAAAGGAUGCGUAGGCGGACAUUUUAAGUCAGAUGUGAAAUACCCGAGCUUAACUUGGGUGCUGCAUUUGAAACUGGGUGUCUAGAGUGCAGGAGAGGUAAGUGGAAUUCCUAGUGUAGCGGUUGAAAUGCGUAGAGAUUAGGAAGAACACCAGUGGCGAAGGCGACUUACUGGACUGUAACUGACGCUGAGGCAUGAAAGCGUGGGGAGCAAACAGG